ACUCUUUCACUUACGGCCCUAUGAAAUAUGAAUAAAAGCCAAUGUGUUCUUAUCAGCUUAAUAUCUGAUACUGAUCCUAUUUGGAUCUAAGAUAUUAAACUCAUUUUUGCAAUGCCGUGGAGUGCUUGAAGCUUGCUUCACCCCCGCCACGGGUUGGCGCGGUAUUGCACUACCUCCAGGAUCGGCCCACUCCCC